CGCCGCGUUCCUGUUACCCCCGGGCUGGACUGGGGGACCCAGGAAGGCGGGGAAGCGGGCCUCGUAAAGGAACAGGAGGACGGCAGCCAGCGGGGAGCUGGGCGCGGCAGGCUGGUGCAGGCGGAAGGUCGCACAAGCAGAGGAAAGCGCAUUGGAAGCCAAUUGGGAUGUAUGCCUGGAAAGAAAAUCAGAAAUUUGGCUCUGAAAGAAUACAUAGAAAGCAAUAGGA